rnacentral:rRNA from 1 species
AUGCCUAAGACAUGCAAGUCGAACGAGGUGACCUUUGAAGUUGGAGUACUGUACAAAGAUGGAUAAGGAUUCGCACCUAGUGGCAGACGGGUGAGUAACACGUGGGUAACCUACCUCAUAGACUGGGAUAACUAUUGGAAACGAUAGCUAAUACCGGAUAAUACUCCUCACAGAAGUGAGGAAGUUAAAAGGAGCUUUAAAGCUUCGCUAAGAGAUGGGCUUGCGGUGUAUUAGCUUGUUGGUGAGGUAAUGGCUCACCAAGGCUACGAUGCAUAUCCGAGCUGAGAGGCUGAUCGGACACACUGGGACUGAGACACGGCCCAGACUCCUACGGGAGACAGCAGUUAGGAAUAUUCGUCAAUGGGGGAAACCCUGAACGAGCAAUGCCGCGUGAGUGGUGAAGGUCUUACAGAUUGUAAAACUCUGUUGUAAAGGAAGAAACCUUACCAUAGGAAAUGAUGGUAAGCUGACGGUACUUUACCAGAAAGCCCCGGCUAACUACGUGCCAGCCGCCGC